rnacentral:rRNA from 1 species
CCUACGGGAGGCAGCAGUGGGGAAUUUUGGACAAUGGGCGAAAGCCUGAUCCAGCAAUGCCGCGUGAGUGAAGAAGGCCUUCGGGUUGUAAAGCUCUUUUGUCAGGGAAGAAACGGUGCGGGCUAAUAUCCUGCACUAAUGACGGUACCUGAAGAAUAAGCACCGGCUAACUACGUGCCAGCAGCCGCGGUAAUACGUAGGGUGCAAGCGUUAAUCGGAAUUACUGGGCGUAAAGCGUGCGCAGGCGGUUUUGUAAGUCUGUCGUGAAAUCCCCGGGCUCAACCUGGGAAUUGCGAUGGAGACUGCAAGGCUAGAAUCUGGCAGAGGGGGGUAGAAUUCCACGUGUAGCAGUGAAAUGCGUAGAGAUGUGGAGGAACACCGAUGGCGAAGGCAGCCCCCUGGGUCAAGAUUGACGCUCAUGCACGAAAGCGUGGGGAGCAAACAGGAUUAGAUACCCUGGUAGUCCACGCCCUAAACGAUGUCUACUAGUUGUCGGGUUUUAAUUAACUUGGUAACGCAGCUAACGCGUGAAGUAGACCGCCUGGGGAGUACGGUCGCAAGAUUAAAACNAAAUGAAGUUGACGG